rnacentral:rRNA from 1 species
AACGAACGCUGGCGGCGUGCCUAAUACAUGCAAGUCGAGCGCAGGAAACUGACGGAACUCUUCGGAGGGAAGGCAGUGGAAUGAGCGGCGGACGGGUGAGUAACACGUAAGGAACCUGCCUCAAGGAUUGGGAUAACUCCGAGAAAUCGGAGCUAAUACCGGAUAGUUCAACGGACCGCAUGGUCCGCUGAUGAAAGGCGCUCCGGCGUCACCUUGAGAUGGCCUUGCGGUGCAUUAGCUAGUUGGUGGGGUAACGGCCCACCACGGCGACGAUGCAUAGGCGAGCUGGGAGGGUGAUCGGCCACACUGGGACUGAGACACGGCCCAGACUCCUACGGGAGGCAGCGGUAGGGAAUCUUCCACAAUGGACGAAAGUCUGAUGGAGCAACGCCGCGUGAGUGAUGAAGGUUUUCGGAUCGUAAAACUCUGUUGUAAGGGAAGAACACGUACGAGAGGGAAUGCUCGUACCUUGACGGUACCUUACGAGAAAGCCACGGCUAACUACGUGCCAGCCGCCGCCGUAAUAC